rnacentral:rRNA from 1 species
CCUACGGGUGGCAGCAGUGAGGAAUAUUGGUCAAUGGACGCAAGUCUGAACCAGCCAUGCCGCGUGCAGGAAGACGGCUCUAUGAGUUGUAAACUGCUUUUGUAAGAGGGUAAACGCAGAUACGCGUAUCUGGCUGAAAGUAUCGUACGAAUAAGGAUCGGCUAACUCCGUGCCAGCAGCCGCGGUAAUACGGAGGAUUCAAGCGUUAUCCGGAUUUAUUGGGUUUAAAGGGUGCGUAGGCGGUCGGGUAAGUUAGCGGUGAAAUCCCGAGGCUCAACUUCGGAAUUGCCUCUGAUACUGUCAGGCUAGAGAGUAGUUGAGGUAGGCGGAAUGUACGGUGUAGCGGUGAAAUGCUUAGAGAUCAUACAGAACACCGAUUGCGAAGGCAGCUUACCAAGCUAAUUCUGACGUUGAGGCACGAAAGCGUGGGGAUCAAACAGGAUUAGAUACCCUUGUAGUC